UACGUAGGGUGCGAGCGUUAAUCGGAAUUACUGGGCGUAAAGCGUGCGCAGGCGGCGCGUUAAGACAGGUGUGAAAGCCCCGAGCUUAACUUGGGAAUUGCGCUUGUGACUGGCGUGCUGGAGUGUGGCAGAGGGAGGUGGAAUUCCACAUGUAGCAGUGAAAUGCGUAGAGAUGUGGAGGAACACCGAUGGCGAAGGCAGCCUCCUGGGCCAGCACUGACGCUCAUGCACGAAAGCGUGGGGAGCAAACAGG
rnacentral:rRNA from 1 species